GAUGAACGCUGGCGGCGUGCCUAAUACAUGCAAGUCGAGCGAACAGAUGAGGAGCUUGCUCCUCUGACGUUAGCGGCGGACGGGAGAGUAACACGUGGAUAACCUACCUAUAAGACUGGGAUAACUUCGGGAAACCGGAGCUAAUACCGGAUAAUAUAUUGAACCGCAUGGUUCAAUAGUGAAAGACGGUUUUGCUGUCACUUAUAGAUGGAUCCGCGCCGCAUUAGCUAGUUGGUAAGGUAAAGGCAUACCAAGGCAACGAUGCGUAGCCGACCUGAGAGGGUGAUCGGCCACACUGGAACUGAGACACGGUCCAGACUCCUACGGGAGGCAGCAGUAGGGAAUCUUCCGCAAUGGGCGAGAGCCUGACGGAGCAACGCCGCGUGAGUGAUGAAGGUCUUCGGAUCGUAGAACGCUGUUAUUAGUGAAGAACAAAUGUGUUAGUAACUAUGCACGUCUUGACGGUACCUAAUCAGAAAGCCACGGCUAACUACGUG
rnacentral:rRNA from 1 species